CCGGACUCCUACGGGAGCCGAACUCCGCCCACGACUUCACUUAUAGGUAGACUUCGUCCGAACUCCCACGGGAGCCAAACUUCACCCCCAGCUUCACUUACAAGUAGACUUCGUCUGGACUCCUACAGGAGCCGGACUUCGCCGACUUUGACUGCGUGAGGACUUCAUCCGGACUCCUACGGGAGCCGGACUUCGCCAACUUCGACUGCGAGAGGACUUCGCCCGGACUCCUACGGG
rnacentral:lncRNA from 1 species